AUGAGCUUUCACAACUUCUGGAAAGACUACAAAGUGCUGGUGGUUAUGGUACCUCUGAUUGGAUUCAUACAUUUGGGGUGGCAGAGGAUCAAAAGCAGCCCUGUUUUCCAAAUUCCUAGUAAGGACAACCUAUCUGAACCAGACACUCUGGCAAUUACAAGUCCUAAGAAGAACCACCUCCCAGGGAAGUAGCAGGCUUGCAAGUUUCAGAAAGAAGCAGCUCUGAGUCAGAGCUUGAGCUAGAAAGAAGAGAUGAAAAAUAGCAGUUGGAUCAGAAAGAACUGGCUGCUUGUAGCUGUGAUUUCCUUCAUAGGUGUCCAUCUUGGGACGUAUUUUAUACAGAGGGCUGCAAAACAGUCUGUAAAGUCUCAGCCUGAAGGCAAACAAAAGAAUUUGAAUAAUGGAGUAAAAUAAAUAUUUGGAAUUACUAAAAUGUCAUGAUAUCGAUCAUUAUGUGCUGGUUAGCUUUAUAAGCAUGAAGCUCAGUAUCUAAUUUUACAGCCACCAUGCUGUAAAUCCGAACUCUGAUUCCUGAAAGAUAAUCUUGUUAAAUGUUAAAACCCUCGACAAUACAAUGAAUAGGAAACUCUGGUUAACAAAAUAAAAGCUUUCUUCACAAA